rnacentral:rRNA from 1 species
CAGCCGUAAACAAUGUGCGUUAGGUGUGUCGGUAACCACGUGUUACUGAUGCGCCGAAGAGAAAUCGUGAAACGCACCACCUGGGAAGUACGGUCGCAAGGCUGAAACUUAAAGGAAUUGGCGGGGGGAGGCACCACAACAGGUGGAGCCUGCGGUUUAAUUGGAUUCAACGCCGGACAUCUCACCGGAUAAGACAGCUGAAUGAUUGUCAAUCUGAAGGUUUUACAUGACUAGCUGAGAGGUGGUGCAUGGCGUCAGUGACU